rnacentral:piRNA from 1 species
ACCAAACCCAUUCUCCCAUCAGUGCUGC